rnacentral:misc_RNA from 1 species
UUUCCGUAGGUGAACCUGCGGAAGGAUCAUUACAGAGUUCAUGCCCUCACGGGUAGAUCUCCCACCCUUGAAUAUUUAUACCUUAGUUGCUUUGGCAGGCCGUGGAAACACCAUGGGCUCCGGCUUAUGCGUGCCUGCCAGAGGAAACAAACUCUGUUUUUAGUGAUGUCUGAGUACUAUAUAAUAGUUAAAACUUUCAACAACGGAUCUCUUGGCUCUC